rnacentral:rRNA from 1 species
GCUGCAACUGUUUAUUAAAAACACAGCACUGUGCAAAAUCGUAAGAUGACGUAUACGGUGUGACGCCUGCCCGGUGCCGGAAGGUUAAUUGAUGGGGUUAGACUUCGGUCGAAGCUCUUGAUCGAAGCCCCGGUAAACGGCGGCCGUAACUAUAACGGUCCUAAGGUAGCGAAAUUCCUUGUCGGGUAAGUUCCGACCUGCACGAAUGGCGUAAUGAUGGCCACGCUGUCUCCACCCGAGACUCAGUGAAAUUGAAAUCGCUGUGAAGAUGCAGUGUACCCGCGGCUAGACGGAAAGACCCCGUGAACCUUUACUACAGCUUGGCACUGAACAUUGACCCUACAUGUGUAGGAUAGGUGGGAGGCUUUGAAGCACGUACGCCAGUAUGUGUGGAGCCGUCCUUGAAAUACCACCCUUGUAGUGUUGAUGUUCUAACGUCGACCCCUUAUCGGGGUUGCGGACAGUGCCUGGUGGGUAGUUUGACUGGGGCGGUCUCCUCCCAAAGAGUAACGGAGGAGCACGAAGGUGGGCUAAUCACGGUUGGACAUCGUGAGGUUAGUGCAAUGGCAUAAGCCCGCUUGACUGCGAGAAUGACAAUUCGAGCAGGUGCGAAAGCAGGUCAUAGUGAUCCGGUGGUUCUGAAUGGAAGGGCCAUCGCUCAACGGAUAAAAGGUACUCCGGGGAUAACAGGCUGAUACCGCCCAAGAGUUCAUAUCGACGGCGGUGUUUGGCACCUCGAUGUCGGCUCAUCACAUCCUGGGGCUGAAGUCGGUCCCAAGGGUAUGGCUGUUCGCCAUUUAAAGUGGUACGCGAGCUGGGUUUAGAACGUCGUGAGACAGUUCGGUCCCUAUCUGCCGUGGGCGUUGGAAGAUUGAAGGGGGCUGCUCCUAGUACGAGAGGACCGGAGUGGACGAACCUCUGGUGUUCGGGUUGUGUCGCCAGACGCAUUGCCCGGUAGCUAAGUUCGGAAUCGAUAACCGCUGAAAGCAUCUAAGCGGGAAGCGAGCCCUGAGAUGAGUCUUCCCUGAUACUUUAAGUAUCCUAAAGGGUUGUCGGAGACUACGACGUUGAUAGGUCAGGUGUGUAAGUGCUGUGAGGCAUUGAGCUAACUGAUACUAAUUGCCCGUGAGGCUUAACC